CCUACGGGAGGCAGCAGUCGAGAAUCAUUCACAAUGGGGGAAACCCUGAUGGUGCGACGCCGCGUGGGGGAAUGAAGGUCUUCGGAUUGUAAACCCCUGUCAUGUGGGAGCAAAUUAAAAAGAUAGUACCACAAGAGGAAGAGACGGCUAACUCUGUGCCAGCAGCCGCGGUAAUACAGAGGUCUCAAGCGUUGUUCGGAAUCACUGGGCGUAAGGCGUGCGUAGGCUGUUUCGUAAGUCGUGUGUGAAAGGCGCGGGCUCAACCCGCGGACGGCACAUGAUACUGCGAGACUAGAGUAAUGGAGGGGGAACCGGAAUGCUCGGUGUAGCAGUGAAAUGCGUAGAUAUCGAGAGGAACACUCGGGGCGAAGGCGGGUUCCUGGACAUUAACUGACGCUGAGGCACGAAGGCCAGGGGAGCGAAAGGGAUUAGAUACCCGGGUAGUC
rnacentral:rRNA from 1 species